rnacentral:rRNA from 1 species
UUUCCCUACGGGACGCAGCAGUGGGGAAUAUUGCACAAUGGGGGAAACCCUGAUGCAGCAACGCCGCGUGAGUGAGGAAGUAUUUCGGUAUGUAAAGCUCUAUCAGCAGGGAAUAGAAAAGAAGGUACCUGAAAAAGAAGCCCCGGCUAACUACGUGCCAGCAGCCGCGGUAAUACGUAGGGGGCAAGCGUUAUCCGGAUUUACUGGGUGUAAAGGGAGCGCAGACGGCAGUGCAAGUCUGGAGUGAAAGCCCGGGGCCCAACCCCGGAGCUGCUCUGGAAACUGUGCGGCUAGAGUACUGGAGG